GACGAACCGUGCGAACGUUGUUCGGAAUCACUGGGCUUAAAGGGCGCGUAGGCGGACCUCCAAGUCCGGGGUGAAAUCUUUCGGCUUAACCGGAAAAGUGCCUUGGAUACUGGGGGUCUCGAGGGAGGCAGGGGCGGAUGGAACUUCCGGUGGAGCGGUGAAAUGCGUUGAUAUCGGAAGGAACGCCGGUGGCGAAAGCGAUCCGCUGGACCUCUACUGACGCUGAGGCGCGAAAGCCAGGGGAGCAAACGGG
rnacentral:rRNA from 1 species